GGGGGUGGGGGGCAAGCGAGGGAGGAAGCGUGCCGCUUAGAGAGCAGGCUAAUCAGCAUCUGGGUAAAACACAUCGCCAUAGAAGCCAAGAGGAUUUUCCUUCCCUAGAGUGUAGCAUCCAUCUAAGUGCCUGAGUUACUUUCAAAGAAGUUCAACAAACCGACCAGCCUCAGAAGCCUGCAUUCAGCAGAACUGAGGCCCGUGGCAGCUGGGUAAGAGAAGAAGGCAGCCUGACAGAGCAGACAGGAAGCCUGAAGCCCAGGAAGACCUGGGCUCAACUCCUCCCACUGAGAGGUUUACUGUUCUAAAGGCAGUGACGGCCCUGGUAUAAUCCCUGACCAUCCUCACUCUGGUGAAGUGAGGGAGCAGUGAUAGGUUCCUGAAUCCCUUACCCCACGUCUUCCUGCCCAUCACUCCCUGUGUCCCCUUCCCCAUUUGCAU